AUACCCUAUUAUUUUUAGUGUAAAAGAAUUUGGAGAACCUGAGUAUUAUUAGUUAUAGUCUUCAAACUUAAAGAAUUUGGCGGUAUUAUAGUCUAUUUAGAGGAAUCUGUUAUGUAAUCGAUAAUCCACGUUAAACCUUACUUAUAUAAAUUUCUUGUAUACCGCUGUUUAAUGAAUAUACUUUUAGGUGUAUUUUCUGAAUAAAUUAUUACUUAAUAUUUCAAGUCAAGGUGCAGUAAUGUAUAAGAUAAAUAAUGGAUUACAAUAAAUUGUAUUUAUUAUGGAUAAUUAUUGUAAAUUAAUUUAAAAGCGGAUUUAAUAGUAAUUUUUUUAAGAAUAUUAAAAUGAUCAAAAGCUCUAUAAUAUGCACACAUCGCCC
rnacentral:rRNA from 1 species